GUGAACCUGCGGAAGAUCAUUA
rnacentral:rRNA from 1 species